rnacentral:SRP_RNA from 2 species
GCUGGGUGUGCUGACACGCACCUGUAGUCCCAGCUACUUGGGAGGCUGAGGUGGGAGGAUCACUUGAGCCCAGGAAGAGGUUGAGGUUGCAGUAAGCUGUGAUUGUGCCACUGCAUUCCAGCCUGGGUAACAGAGUGAGAUCCUGUCUCUG